CAGAGUUAGGGUCUUUUAGGCCCGACCUCCCAACCCUUUGUUUACUGAACCUCUGUUGCUUCGGCGGAUCCGUCUUGAUUGACCGCCGGGGGACCGCCGAAAGGCGUCCUCUGGCCCGCGUCCGCCGAUAGCCAACCCUAAAAAUUCUUUAUGAAUCGUGUCUUAUGUCUAAGUCAAAAUAUUAAAUUAAAAGCA
rnacentral:misc_RNA from 1 species